rnacentral:tRNA from 1 species
UCUUUCUAGUACUAAGCAGUAUAAGUGGCUUCCAACCACACGGUCUUGGUUAAAGUCCAAGGAAAGAU